rnacentral:ncRNA from 2 species
CAGUACACACACGGGUGCCCGAGGGAUGCGUCGGGCUGAGAUCUGGGUCGCGAACCUGCCCAUGACCGUUACACCUGAUCCGGGUAAUGCCGGCGAAGGAAGAAGGUGGGAUGAAGUCUC